rnacentral:rRNA from 1 species
AUUGAACGCUGGCGGCAUGCCUUACACAUGCAAGUCGAACGGCAGCGCGGGAGCAAUCCUGGCGGCGAGUGGCGAACGGGUGAGUAAUAUAUCGGAACGUGCCCAGUAGUGGGGGAUAGCCCGGCGAAAGCCGGAUUAAUACCGCAUGAGACCUGAGGGUGAAAGCGGGGGAUCGCAAGACCUCGCGCUAUUGGAGCGGCCGAUAUCAGAUUAGCUAGUUGGUGGGGUAAAGGCCUACCAAGGCAACGAUCUGUAGUUGGUCUGAGAGGACGAUCAGCCACACUGGGACUGAGACACGGCCCAGACUCCUACGGGAGGCAGCAGUGGGGAAUUUUGGACAAUGGGCGAAAGCCUGAUCCAGCCAUGCCGCGUGAGUGAAGAAGGCCUC